GUGUCCUCCAUCUCUCCGCUUUCUCUCAUUUCUCCUAUAUUAAGGACAAUCUCACAGCCAGAGACUGCUACAGUUCCUCCUUCAUCUGUUAUCCUUCUUAUCUCUACAGAGCUGUUGGAGAGUGAAGCAGCACAGAGCUGACCUUAUAAAGGCUACUCCUGACCAGACCACACCUCUGUCCCUGAGUCCAUGGAAGCCAAGGCCAAGACCGGGGCUCCAGCGCCCAAGGCGGCAUCUAAAGCAGAGAAGAAGGAGCCGGCAGCCCCACGCAAAGCUGACCCUGCCCCUGCAGCCCCUGAGCCUGAGCAUCCUCCUCCCCAGGAUGGGGCAGCAGAAGCCGAAGCAGCAGCAGCAGGUGACGAGGCUGCGGCCUGCGGCACAGACUCUCUGGAGCACCUGAAACCCUUUCUCAUCGGUGGUGCUGUUAUUGCUGCAGGAGCCAUCUUGCUGGGAGUGUUGCUACUGGCAAGGAGAAAUUAAAACCAAAUUCUUGUCUCAUAUUAAAGUAUUUAUCAGUCGAUGAGUUAGAGCAUUGUUGCUGAGUGGUUCACAGACUAUGAUGGUACACAUGGGGGGUGGGGAGCCACUGUGCAUCUUAUUUUUAUUUUCUUUUUUUGGCCUGCUUUCACUCGUAGUGAGUUGAACCAUUCAAGUUUUGAUCAAGGCUGUAUAUGGAGCAUAAUUACAUAUAGUAUAUGCAUGAAGUUGCUUCAAUAUUGCAUCUGAAUUGUAAUAACGUUUCUUAAAAAAAACUCACACUGUAAUACUGAGCUUAAAAGCCUAAACUCUCUAAAGGUAGCUUAUUCAACUGCUUUAUCUUAUUUAAUUCAGUAUGCACAAAUAUUGACAUAAGCUUGCAAUAUUUGUGCAUUCCUGCACUGGAAAUAGCUUGGUUCACUUUGCUAAAAGAUCAUGAAAAACUGUAUUGAUAAUGUUGAAACUUAUAGAUAUUAAUACUGACUACCAGAGUUGUUCUAGGUUUUACCUUUAAAUAGGUAAACAGUUACGAAAAUGCAGUGGUGUAUUGCACAUAUUUUGGUUAAAGCAGUGCCUAAGUGAAGGGAUUCAGUUUCUUUCCUCAGAGUACAAGGAAGGAAACACUAAAUCUCUGCAUAUAUAUAUAUAAAUAUAUAAAUUUCACAUAGGGAAUGGCAUAGUGCAACUAAAAAAAAAAAUCAACUUUUGAGAAAAAGAGAAAAUAUAGGCAUGCUGUGGUUUAGGGAUGGGAUGUAGGGGACUGCUGGAGAUAAAACAUGCACAGUAUGUUGCAGAGAAAAAGUUACGUCUUACUGUAGAAUAAGAAAGUUUUAUUUUACUGUCAAAUGAUGUCACAAAUCAAUAACCUUUCAUGUCUUACAACAACAGUCACAGUCGUGCUGGUUCCAUCUGUUUACAUCCUACUGUAGAUGUAACAGUAUCAGGCUGAACAGCCAUUAGUGUUGUAGUAACAGGCUUUAAAGCCUGCUGCCAAAACAUUUGAGUUGUUUCUGUCUUCACUGUGCUCCCCUAAUGUGGCUUUAGGAAGAAUCCUUGUUUUCAAAACCUCAUCAAUAACUAAGUACAAAUAUAAUGUAAUGAGAACAUCGUAAGUUGCUAAUAUAAUUAAAGUGGGGGGGUAGAUGAACAACUGUUGUAUAGUUUACUCAAAGGGGGAAAAAAAAUUGUCAAGCAGCCACAAUUUUGUUGCUGCACACACAGUCACCUGUACAGCGAUACACAAUAUUGUCCACUCACAUGUAAAGCUCAUAGGGAUGUUGCAUAAGUAGAUAGCAGAAAGACAGCUCUGACACACACCAUUACUUGAUUUUAGUUGUAGGGGUACGUACGAAUUUUACCACACAUUACUGGCCAAACAUACCACAUUCACCAUCGUCAACACCCCGAACACAUCCAAAAGAUAGUAUGCCAACACAAAAACAAACUUCACCUUACAUUGUACAAUACAGUGUACCAAAAAAAAAAAAAAAAUAAAGAUCCUAUUUUCAUAAUUUCAACAGCG